CUUCAGUAGGAGAGCGAAGUGACGGUACCUGCAGAGAGCGCGCUACUACGUGCCAGCAGCGCGUUAUACGUAGGGGCAGCGUAUCGAUAUGGCGUAAGAGCUCGUAGCGUUGUCGCGUCUGCCGUGAAAGUCGGGCUCACUCCGGAUCUGCGUGGGUACGGCAGACUAGAGUGAUGUAGGGAGACUGAAUCCUGUGUAGCGUGAAAUGCGCAGAUAUCAGGAGGACACCGAUGGCGAGGCAGGUCUCUGGGCAUUUACUGACGCUGAGGAGCGGAAGCAUGGUGUGAGCGGAAACCAGAGAGAUACCCUGGUAGUCAUGCAGUAAACGUUGGGCACUAGGUGUGGGGGACAUUCCACGUUUUCCGCGCCGUAGCUAACGCAUUAAGUGCCCCGCCUGGGGAGUACGGCCGCAAGGCUAAAACUCAAAGGAAUUGACGGGGGCCCGCACAAGCGGCGGAGCAUGCGGAUUAAUUCGAUGCAACGCGAAGAACCUUACCAAGGCUUGACAUGAACCGGAAAGAUCUGGAAACAGGUCCCCCACUUGUGGUCGGUUUACAGGUGGUGCAUGGUUGUCGUCAGCUCGUGUCGUGAGAUGUUGGGUUAAGUCCCGCAACGAGCGCAACCCUCGUUCUAUGUUGCCAGCACGUGAUGGUGGGGACUCAUAGGAGACUGCCGGGGUCAACUCGGAGGAAGGUGGGGACGACGUCAAAUCAUCAUGCCCCUUAUGUCUUGGGCUUCACGCAUGCUACAAUGGCCGGUACAAAGGGUUGCGAUACUGUGAGGUGGAGCUAAUCCCAAAAAGCCGGUCUCAGUUCGGAUUGGGGUCUGCAACUCGACCCCAUGAAGUCGGAGUCGCUAGUAAUCGCAGAUUCAGCAACGCUGCGGUGAAUACGUUCCCGGGCCUUGUACACACCGCCCGUCAAGUCACGAAAGUUGGUAACACCCGAAGACAGGUGGCCUAACCCUGUGGAGUGAGCUGUCUAUAUAUGAGCUUCCCUCU
rnacentral:rRNA from 1 species